rnacentral:tmRNA from 1 species
GGGGGCGCACCGGUUUCGACUUGUGACUGGACGCGAGGGUAGCAUGCCGAGGACGAUGCGUUGGCCUCGUAAAAAAGCGCAUCAAAACAAACAAACGCAAACUCCAACGAGCUUGCUCUCGCGGCCUAAGAAACCGCGACGGAUCCCGCGGCGAAGUCUGUAGCCGCUGCAUCCGCCAACCUACAGGCUGGCCUGACGCCGGGGCAUCCGCGGCCAGGGUGAGACCAACAGGGUGACCGGGGCGGGAAAUUUUGCCGGACGAAGUUUCCGCCCUUAAACCAAAUGACCGGCUGAGCAUGGAGAGACCCCCGCGAAAGGCAGCAAGGACACGGGUUCAAUUCCCGUCGCCUCCACCU